UGUCACCUACAUAAACACUUUAAGGUUGGUUUUAUGACUGUAAGUCAUUGUCUUCAAAUGAUAUUGAGCUUUAUUAUGUAAUUAUAUAUUGUGUGUAUGAACAUACAGUAAGUGAAAUACAUUAAUAUUUACAUAUGAUUUGACAGUUCAUUUUAUUAAAUCUUAAAGGUGUGCAUCGUGCCUGACACCUACAUGAACUUAGUUGGUUUAUCACUAUAAGUCAUUCUCUUCAAAUGCUAUUGAAGUUGGAAUCUUGUAUCGUAUGACUUUGGAGACCGUCCCUAAAUUUCCGAAUUUCGAACGUCCAGCGUCGAGCCAAGUGUAUGCCAGUAUUUCACUGGGAAACGAUUAGCGUCAAACUUUGCGCGUUAUGUUCAUAUUGUGAGUGCAUCUGCUUGCCUGUAGCCUAAUAUAGUAGAGUUAGCAUCAACAAUAAGGUGUGAGUUUGGACUUUUAUUUCACUGUAGCCUACUCGUCCAUUAAUCGUUUACGGGGGGAAUCCUGGAGUAUGACAUAUGAGGGAAACCACUGUACUGCAUCACAGCGCUGCAAUAUAAAGCUAAGAAAACUAACAACCAAGAGAAAUAUAUGUCUUCCUCAGAUGUAAUAUUGAUAUGUACAUCAGCAUCGGGUGGGAAAAGUGUUAUAAUCUUGUUCGAGGUAGAGAAAGCUGCUUACAUGUAGUCUAUACACAAGUCUUCGUUAACAGCGACUUCUGGCACCUGCUGGUGAGGACGACUAACAGCAGAUGGAGAUCAUGCAUCGGCAAUCUACCAACAAUAACCAACUGCAGAACCGCAGAACCAUACGUCAUGACAGUCUGAGGACGACAGCGCCAGACUAACAGCCUGAGCCCGGAAGUGGGCGGAGUAACAGUCUCACGCCGGAUGUGGGCGCAGUUAGCGACAAACAAACAAACAAUGGCGGAAGAAGAGAACACGAGGCAUAUUAGUAUUGGGAGAUGCUCCGCUUUACUUCAUUUACAGCGAUGCAAGAUGUGCUGCAACAAUUUCCACUGCCCAGUGUUCUUAAACCGACCAGACGGCACAAUUUGAAUGCACACCUUCAAAUUCACUUCAAAAAGGCUGUUGUCCAUGGAGAAUGUUCCGUUGACCGGCUCUAUUGAGUGUGGGAUCUUCAUGUUAAUGGAGCCACGGAUCACAGAAGACUUCUGCGCUGCACUUAAACGGCUGCACAACAACCAAAAGUCUUCAAGCCUUUAGUAGAAGAGCUGUGCUUUCUGAUAUUGAAAGAGGAAGACCAGGAAAAACCCCUUUUUAACUUUCACAGGCUGAAACGGAUGAUGACAGACAACUGGCCAAAGAGCCUUUAGUGUUUUGCUUACAAAUUAAGGAUCAUAUGGACAUUUUUCUUAAUGAGUGUCUGGACAAAAAGAGUCUUGUAAUUAAUUGCAUGUUUAUGGAGAUUUGAUGUUUUUUUUUUGUUUUUUUUUAAGAUUUAAUUUGUCAUCAUGUACCUGCUGUUCAAUUUACACUCUUUGGUUUGAUUUUGUAAUUUUUUUAGAGCAAAGCGCAGCUAGCGGGAAAAGUACAUUUUAUUAAAAUUAAAUACCUUUUGUGUUUUGUUUUUGGGUUUGAUGGAUCUGAAUUUGCUUAAUUUAUGCAAUCUAGUGUACAACUGUGUAAUGUGUAUUAUAUAUUAUGAAAAACAAUGGUUCAUUCUGAAAUGCUUGAGUAAAAUACACAUUUUAUGACAAAUUAAUAAAUGUUUAUAAUUUUUUGUGUUUAA